rnacentral:rRNA from 1 species
UACCAGCACCCCGAGUGGUCGGGACGAUUAUUGGGCCUAAAGCAUCCGUAGCCGGUCAUGCAAGUCUUCCGUUAAAUCCAGCCGCUCAACGGUUGGGCUGCGGAGGAUACUACGUGGCUAGGAGGCGGGAGAGGCAAGCGGUACUCAGUGGGUAGGGGUAAAAUCCUUUGAUCCAUUGAAGACCAGCCAGUGGCGAAGGCGGCUUGCCAGAACGCGCUCGACGGUGAGGGAUGAAAGCUGGGGGAGCAACCGG